CCUACGGGAGGCUGCAGUGAGGAAUAUUGGUCAAUGGACGAGAGUCUGAACCAGCCAAGUAGCGUGAAGGAUGACUGCCCUAUGGGUUGUAAACUUCUUUUAUAUGGGAAUAAAAUGUUCCAAGUGUGGUAUUUUGUAUGUACCAUAUGAAUAAGGAUCGGCUAACUCCGUGCCAGCAGCCGCGGUAAUACGGAGGAUCCGAGCGUUAUCCGGAUUUAUUGGGUUUAAAGGGAGCGUAGGUGGAUUGUUAAGUCAGUUGUGAAAGUUUGCGGCUCAACCGUAAAAUUGCAGUUGAAACUGGCAGUCUUGAGUACAGUAGAGGUGGGCGGAAUUCGUGGUGUAGCGGUGAAAUGCUUAGAUAUCACGAAGAACUCCGAUUGCGAAGGCAGCUCACUGAACUGCAACUGACACUGAGGCUCGAAAGUGUGGGUAUCAAACAGGAUUAGAUACCCUGGUUGUC
rnacentral:rRNA from 1 species